AGAGUUUGAUCCUGGCUCAGAAUGAACGCUGGCGGCAGGCCUAACACAUGCAAGUCGAACGAGGUAGCAAUACCUAGUGGCGGACGGGUGAGUAACACGUGGGAACGUACCCUUUGCUACGGAAUAGCCCUGGGAAACUGGGAGUAAUACCGUAUGAGCCCGAGAGGGGAAAGAUUUAUCGGCAAAGGAUCGGCCCGCGUUGGAUUAGGUAGUUGGUGGGGUAAUGGCCUACCAAGCCGACGAUCCAUAGCUGGUUUGAGAGGAUGAUCAGCCACACUGGGACUGAGACACGGCCCAGACUCCUACGGGAGGCAGCAGUGGGGAAUCUUAGACAAUGGGGAAACCCUGAUCUAGCCAUGCCGCGUGAUCGAUGAAGGCCUUAGGGUUGUAAAGAUCUUUCAGGUGGGAAGAUAAUGACUGUACCACCAGAAGAAGCCCCGGCUAACUCCGUG
rnacentral:rRNA from 1 species